AGCUCAGUUGGUAGAGCGGUUGACUGUUAAUCAAUUGGUCGCUGGUUCGAGUCCGGCC
rnacentral:tRNA from 1 species